rnacentral:rRNA from 1 species
UGAGGAAUCUUGGGCAAUGGGCGAAAGCCUGACCCAGCGACGCCGCGUGCGGGAAGAAGCCCUUCGGGGUGUAAACCGCUUUUGCCGGGGACGAGCACGGACGGUACCCGGCGAAUAAGGCCCGGCCAACUACGUGCCAGCAGCCGCGGUAAAACGUAGGGGCCAAGCGUUACCCGGAUUUACUGGGCGUAAAGCGCGCGUAGGUGGGGCCUUAAGUCGGGCGUGAAAGCCC